UCAGAUUCGAGUGGACGUUACAGUUGAGCGCGCCGUCAACUCAACGAUAGUUAACGUUAGUAGAUAGAAAAUAUAAUAACUAAUACCAAAAGAAGAAACUGUGUGCGAGCGAUUACGAGUACGAGUAAUACGCAACCGUUGGUUAGUGGCGUUGCAUAAAAAUAGUCGACGAGUGACGCUUUGCAGGUCAAACUGAAAACCUAUUUUGGGUCCCACAUUUAACAUUUUAAAGAAUCUCCAAUCGCGCGUGUGUAAACAAGCUCCGGUAGUGCCACUGAAAUAAUUAAUUAAAAUUCGCCAAAAUUUGUUUGCAAAAUGACGAAGGUUGAACUUUAUAAAUCACGCGUGUUCGUCACCAUUAUACAUCUGUUUGCUUUGGGC